rnacentral:rRNA from 1 species
UACGUAGGGUGCAAGCGUUGUCCGGAAUUAUUGGGCGUAAAGAGCUCGUAGGCGGUUUGUCGCGUCUGCUGUGAAAUCCCAGAGCUUAACCCUGGGCCUGCAGUGGGUACGGGCAAACUAGAGUGCGGUAGGGGAGAUCGGAAUUCCUGGUGUAGCGGUGAAAUGCGCAGAUAUCAGGAGGAACACCGGUGGCGAAGGCGGAUCUCUGGGCCGUAACUGACGCUGAGGAGCGAAAGCAUGGGUAGCGAACAGG